UGUCAAGGGAUGGGAAUCGAACCCACGACCUUCUCCGCUUACCGGGCAGAUGCCAUGACCACUAGGCUACCCUGGAC